GGGAGGCGAGGACUGACGAAGGAAGGUACCGGACGUGACUGAAUGGAGAUUCACAGUCUUCUAACACAUAUGACAAGGAUCUUAUUGGUGCCAUUAAGCCCGGAUCAACUGCAGCUGCAAUGUUCAAGUUAAGUACAACAAGUUUGGAAUGAGGUAUUUUCCAGUGUCUUAUUGGUGCCAUCAAGUGCUGCUGCAACGCUCAUGUUGGGACUUAUCCUGGUGAGAGGCUGCCUGAUGUCAUCUCCACGGUGAUGUCCAGAAAUAUGCACUCAGGACUUCAGCCCGCUUCUGUGUUGUACAGGCCCGAUGUGUGACUGAUUUGGUUUCUAUGGCUGUGUCGAUGGCCCUGAUCGUAUUCAACCUGUUACUGUUAAUUCUGUUCUUUAUAAAACUGGUUAAUCAUUAUCUGUUUUCAUUUCUGUUUUAUUUUCAUCUGCCUUAACCUUAAGAAAUAAAAGUUUUCUAUGAUUCUUCACGUACAAAGGCUCCAAGCUGCCACUAUACCACGGAAUGUCGACAUUUACUGAUUCUAGGCUCUGUUGGCUACUGUGUCGUAGAGUAAGGAUAGAGAAUAGUUUUUAUUGAGUGACUUUGAGAGUUGUACUGAACUUGUACAUUAUUUGUUCACUUUGCAUUCAUCUAAUGCUUUUAAAUAAACAGUUUGAAAUCAGGUGUACAGUAAUUGUUUUAUUGCUUUCCCUUUUUAGACUCUUAUGCCCAUGAGUAUUGGAUGGUCCCUCCCUUCCCAGACCCUUAACCCUAUGUGUGAAAUAGUUGGUCCCCCUCCAUCCCCUCUCCUUGUUUCCAUGUUUGACUCCUUUCCAAGGACAUUUUAACCCAUGCCCCUUUUCCA